CCUACGGGAGGCUGCAGUGGGGAAUCUUGGGCAAUGGGCGCAAGCCUGACCGAGCAACGCCGCGUGAAGGAAGAAGGCUUUCGGGUCGUAAACUUCUUUUAUGAGGGAAGAGCAGAAGUCGGUACCUCUUGAAUAAGCCACGGCUAACUAUGUGCCAGCAGCCGCGGCAAUAUGCAGGUGGCAAGCGUUGGUCGUAUUUACUGGGUGGAAAGUGCGGGCAGCCGGGAAGCCAAGUCAGAAGGGAAAUCGCGGGGGUCAACCCCGGAACUGCAUUUGAAACUGUUUUUCUUGAGUGCCGGAGAGGACAGCGGAAUUCCUUGUGUAGCGGUGAAAUGCGUAGAUAUAAGGAAGAACACCAGUGGCGAAGGCGGAUGUCUGGACUGCAACUGACGGUGAGGCGCGAAAGCGUGGGGAGCAAACAGGAUUAGAUACCCUUGUAGUC
rnacentral:rRNA from 1 species